GGUAAGGUAGUUUAUAUAAAAUGCCUAUUUUACACGUAGGAGAAAGAAUGCUUCUUAUUA
rnacentral:tRNA from 1 species